rnacentral:misc_RNA from 1 species
GAUGAAGAACGUAGCGAAAUGCGAUAAGUAAUGUGAAUUGCAGAAUUCAGUGAAUCAUCGAAUCUUUGAACGCACAUUGCGCCCGGCAGUACUCUGCCGGGCAUGCCUGUUCGAGCGUCAUUUCAACCCUCAAGCCCUGCUUGGUGUUGGGGCCCCACGGCUGCCGUGGGCCCUGAAAGGAAGUGGCGGGCUCGCUACAACUCCGAGCGUAGUAAUUCAUUAUCUCGCUUAGGGCGUUGGGCGGCGCUCCAGCCGUUAAAGAACCAUCUUUAAAUAAAGGUUGACCUCGGAUCAGGUAGGAAUACCCGCUGAACUUAAGCAUAUCAAUAAGCGGAGGGA